CCCUUAGAUGUCCUGGGCCGCACGCGUGCUACACUGACGCCUACAGCGAGUACUUCCCAGCCCCGAGAGGUGGCUGGUAAUCAGCAAUAGGCGUCGUGAUGGGGAUAGAUCUUUGGAAUUAUGGAUCUUGAACGAGGAAUGCCUAGUAAGCGCAGGUCAUUAGCCUGCGCUGAUUAAGUCCCUGCCCUUUGUACACACCGCCCGUCGCUCCUACCGAUUUCGAGUGGUCCGGUGAAUCUUUCGGACUGCGCGCGGCCUCGUGCCGUGUCGCGGAAAGUCAGGUAAUCCUUAUCACUUAGAGGAAGGAGAAGUCGUAACA
rnacentral:rRNA from 1 species